AUGGUUGUCGUCAGCUCGUGUCGUGAGAUGUUGGUUAAGUACCCGCAACGAGCGCAACCCCUAUUGUUAGUUGCCAUCAUUCAGUUGGGCACUCUAGCGAGACUGCCGGUAAUAAACCGGAGGAAGGUGGGGAUGACGUCAAAUCAUCAUGCCCCUUAUGACCUGGGCUACACACGUGCUACAAUGGUUGGUACAACGAGUUGCGAGUCGGUGACGGCGAGCUAAUCUCUUAAAGCCAAUCUCAGUUCGGAUUGUAGGCUGCAACUCGCCUACAUGAAGUCGGAAUCGCUAGUAAUCGCGGAUCAGCACGCCCGCGGUCCGAAUACGUUCCGGGCCUU
rnacentral:rRNA from 1 species